UCGGCGGCCAACCUCGGCAUGCGCGCAGGGGACAGCGACGCGUGGCGAGGUCGAGAGGCUUCAGGGAGGAACCGGGGGCGCACGAGGUGAACUUGGCCGGGGCGCGGCGCGUGGCCGGCGACCUCUGCUCGGCCGGCGCAGAGCAGGGGAGAGUGAGAGGGAAGAGAGAGAGAGAGAGAGUAGAGAGAGAAAUAGAGGUUUGACUGAUUCAAAAUCGAAUUUUUCUCAAAAAUUUCUUUUGAAACAUGGAAAACUUUGAAUAUGAAAGUUGUAGAGAAUUUAAAAGCUUACAACUUUUAUUUCAGGAAAAAGUUUAUUCGAGCAAUGGUUUAAAAGUUAUUUUAAAUUUUCGAAAACUAUGAUUCGAAUGACUUGUCAUUUCAUGUGACUUUUGUCACUUUUACCCCUAGAGUUCAACUAGACAUUUAUUAAUAUUUUCAUGGUGAACAUGCCUAUUCAUUUUCAUAUGCCUAUUUGCAUUGGUGUGAAAGUUAUUUGAAAUUUCUCACCACUAGAAUUUGAACUCUUAGUUAAUUAAAUUUUUGAAUUUGAAAGUGGUCUUUUACGUAAACUUGUAUAGCACAAAACUAUAAGUGUGUUUUAUGCUACAAUUGUCAUGACAAGUUGAGUGUGAAAGUUUACAAAUAUUAAAGGAACAAAAUUUAUAUCCACACAUACAUAUGUACACAUACACACAUACACAUACAUACACAUGCAUUUUCAUACAUACAUAUAUAUUAUUUUCCAAAAAGAAAUGCAUAAUUUGAAUUUCUCUUGUUUAUUAAGCAUGAAAUCAUAUUUAAUAUUUCUUGCUUAGCAUUUUAAAACUCUGAGAUGUCACACUCGUCCUCUACGGCUGGCCCAAGGCGGUGCGCGACGCUGGAUGGGAUGGCGCCUGCGAGGCAAUUGCCGCUGAGGAUGAGGCAGCCCCCGCCGCCGGGGUGGUGGCAGCACGGGCAGCUUCUGCUCUGGCCGCCGAGUUUGUGAUGCUUAACUGACUACAGCAAACCAAUAUCAGUUGCUUAACAGCAUGGAUUGAUUACUCUUUUGUUUUUUGAUCUUGCUUUGCAAAGAUGAUCUGAAUUGAAGAACAAUUGAAAACGUUGUUUUAGGUGCUGAUGAUGUGCUGCUAUUCAGAUACUCAAACUCUUUUUGAUAUUCACAUCAAUGUAGAUUGGCCCUGAUCAGAUCGAAGCCUUAUAUGAUUACGCUAAAUUUCAGUAUGAGCGUGGGUCCUAUUCUGAUCUGCGGCCUACCUCUACUACUAUCGUGUUUUGACCACAAAUAGCGAUAGGAGUGUGAGAGCUUUAUAGGGGAUGUUGGCAUCACAGA